GUUGUAUGGUUAAGUGACUAAGCGUACACGGUGGAUGCCUUGGCAGUCAGAGGCGAUGAAGGACGUAUUAACUUGCGAUAAGCCCAGAUUAGGCAGUAAAAGCCACUUGAGUCUGGGAUUUCCGAAUGGGGAAACCCACUAGCAUAAGCUAGUAUCAUUAACUGA
rnacentral:rRNA from 2 species